rnacentral:rRNA from 1 species
CCAUUGAGUUGAGGACAGUGGCGGACGGGUGAGUAACGCGUGAGCAACCUGCCUUUCAGAGGGGGACAACAGUUGGAAACGACUGCUAAUACCGCAUAACGUAUGAUCAUGGCAUCAUGGACAUACCAAAGAUUUAUCGCUGAAAGAUGGGCUCGCGUCUGAUUAGAUAGUUGGUGAGGUAACGGCUCACCAAGUCGACGAUCAGUAGCCGGACUGAGAGGUUGAACGGCCACAUUGGGACUGAGAUACGGCCCAGACUCCUACGGGAGGCAGCAGUGGGGAAUAUUGGGCAAUGGGGGCAACCCUGACCCAGCAACGCCGCGUGAAGGAAGAAGGCUUUCGGGUUGUAAACUUCUUUGACGAGGGACGAUAAUGACGGUACCUCGAAAACAAGCCACGGCUAACUACGUGCCAGCAGCCGCGGUAAUACGUAGGUGGCAAGCGUUGUCCGGAUUUACUGGGUGUAAAGGGCGCGUAGGCGGGACUGCAAGUCAGAUGUGAAAUGCAGAGGCUCAACCUCUGAGCUGCAUUUGAAACUGUAGUUCUUGAGUAUCGGAGAGGCAGGCGGAAUUCCUAGUGUAGCGGUGAAAUGCGUAGAUAUUAGGAGGAACACCAGUGGCGAAGGCGGCCUGCUGGACGACAACUGACGCUGAGGCGCGAAAGCGUGGGAGCAAACAGGAUUAGAUACCCUGGUAGUCCA